rnacentral:lncRNA from 1 species
CCCUGCCCCCCACCCCACCCCCCAGGUUUGCCUGGAUGAUGCUUCUGAAGGAGUGCAGCAUCUAGAAAGCCCAGCCAGAGUGGAAGGACAGGACUGUGGUGCCUCCUCACUCACUGACGAACCCUUUAAGAGCAAAAGCACUAUGCUUUCUGUAAUCUUUCUACAAUCUGACCAUCAAGUCUGGAAACAUGUGAAUAUAACAUAAAUGGAUUACUGAUACAGUAGCACUAAAAUAAUAAAUUAUCUGUGCCUCCAGGCUUUAUGGUCUGUCUAUAUUACAUGAUAAUACGGAUCUUAUAAUAAGAAUUUAAGAUAAUGAGAUGUGAUAAUUCUACAUAAAAUAAUGCAUAAGAUCUUUCUGAUUGGGACUUUCAAAAAGUCUUUUGUACCAAGGGUACAUUGAUGUGGCCAUGAUGAAGGUGUGUGCUUGCCUAAGCAGUUGCAUAUUUUGGUAGAAUCUCUCUGAUCUCCUCUUUCCCCUUACAGAUGACAUGUUGCAUACAGUAUGGGCCAGGUCCUUUUCCUUCAUUUUAAGGCCUCUUUCUGUCUGCACCUUGAGUUUUCUAGGUCAGCAUGUUUGAGCUGUUUGCUCACCAGGUAGUCUUCAAUUCAAAUUAAGUUUAUAACCUUUUGAUUAACUCAGAAUUUUGGAGGAGCUCGGGCAUGAAUUUACUGACCAUAAAGGGCAAGUGUACUUUCUUUAAAAAGUAGAGAAAGUGAUACGGUAGUGCAUGGAAAAAUUGUGUGUGUGUGUGUGUGUGUGUGUGCACGCAUGCAUGCAUAUGCAUAUACUGAAGAACAGAAGAAUAGAGGUGCUGUGAUUUUUCUGCUGCUAAUUUGGAUAGGAAAUAGUAACUAACAGUACUUUAGUAGAAGAAUGUUAAUGACUUAGUUUUUAGAUGUUGUGACUGUUGGAUACAAAUGACAUUGUUCAUCAUCACCAUCAUUAGGUAUCUCAUGUAGGCAUAGUUGGAAACUACUAUCUGGAACAUACCUAGGAAAAUCCAGAUAACCAGAGCAGCUCCCAGAGGCUUGAUUGGCCAGCUGGUAACGAAACUGGAGGGAACACAGUCACUUUUCAAGUUGAAAUUUUUCCUUCACCAAAGUAAGACAAAGGAAAGCUUUUCCAUUCAAGAAAGGUUAAGAGUGUCAGCUAUUUGACAGAAGCUGACCAUUGAAAAGUUUUUCUGCAGUGUAGAAACCAAGAGCCCUGAUUGUGAGCACCAGUCUCCUUGUAGUGGGUGUGGCUGGCUGCCCAGGUGGUCCAGGGGAGCUCCCCACACUUUUCCUUCCUCCUGUGACGCUUGGUUAAGUGUUAGUUCUGUGUACAUUUUGCAUGUUAACUCCUUACCAGAUGUAUGGUUUGCAUGUAUUUUCUCUCAUUUGCUGGGCUGUCUCUUUACUCUGUUGACUGUUUCCUUGCUUGCUUUCUGCUCUGAGGCAGUCCCAUUUGUCUGUUUCGGUUUUUAUUGCCUGUCCUCAUGAGGUCAUACCCAAAACAUCGUCACCUAGGCCCAGAGCUACAGAAGGAGAAUCUAUGAAGUAGCAGUCUUAUGGGUCAUUCAGGACACCAAAGGUCAUCCCACAGAGUUAACUGCACAGUUUGUGAAUGGAGCACUUGUUAACAUUUCUCAGCGGCUUCUCACUGGUAGAACAGGCGUUAGUUUAAAAUUUUUUGUUACUAUUUUGUGUUUGGGUGUGUGUAUGCUCGUUCCUGAAUAAGGCAAUGGGAAAUCAACUGCUUAGUGGGCAAAUUCUUCAUAUUUUUUUUUAAGACUGAUUUUCAUGAUCUGUCAAAUGAGAAAUUACACAAGAUCUGCCUCACAGGCUGUACAUUUCCUUCAUUACAUUGUUUUGAUUUGCAUAAACAUGACCUAUCAUGUAAAGUGAUUUUGCAUUAUUUUUUAUAUGUUGAGCCCACUUUUGAGUUACAGCAAGAACAGUAGUGAAGAUCUGCUUUUCAUCCAGUUUGACUGAAGUGUCCUUUUGUCAUCCUUUUCAUUUGCGUAUUGUAUUUAAAUGUCAGACUGUAGAGACAGCUAAAGGAGCAUCUUUUUUAAAAACAUUGCUACAGGCAUAACAUGUUCUAGAUAAUAUUUGUGUUUGCUUUCCUGCCCAUUGAGGUGAGCUACCAUUGAGCAUGCCGGUUACAAUGGACCCAGGGACUUUUCUUUGGAGCUGCCAUUCCAUGAAAAGGACACUCCGGACACAGGCCCGCCCAGGAGACUUCAUCUGCGCCGAGUGUGGGAAGAGCUUCCACCAGCCCAGCCACCUCAGGGCCCACAUGCGAGCGCACACAGGGGAGAGACCAUGCUAACACAGGGACUGUGCAGACAGUGCCCCUCAGAAAGGGAACCUAGAGACACACUCCAGCGCCCCUGGGCACCCUGCGAUGGCCAUUGGCAGUGUCCUCACAGAUGUCCCGGCAGCCUCCCGGCAGUGACCAUGUGCACCUCGAGGGAGGAAGAACUGCAGGUCUCCUGGCCAGACACCUCAGACCGCCCGCCGAGCUGCUGCCCUGGAGCAGAGACUGAGGGAGAUGCCUCUCCCCACUAGACAUUUAGAGCAGUGACAACGCUAUGCCUAGGAUUCCCUGUAGAUCUCACACAUGCAUAUAUGUGCUCUUCAAGCAUAGCCCGUGUUUUCUUACCAUAACCAGUGGUACUAGCAGGCACAGUGGGAGCUCAAGGCAUCUGUGUUAUUCAAGACAAAUUUGAGACACUGGAACAAAGAUACUUGUGUGUGUUGGAUGGAGCGGAGAAGCUAAGCACUGUAGGAGGAGCUCCUGUGACCAGAAGGACUGCCGUGGUGGAUGUCAGGACAAUGAUUGAGGUUGAUGAAGUAUUAGCACUACUGCCUCUCCGUAUCUUAGUUGGUAUUUAAAAUAAUAAAUAAAGAGAGGAGGGAGGUGGCAGUCAGUGUUGUGGGGAAAUCAGGAGUGAAAUGGGGUGGUGACAAGAUCCUAAUCAGUCACAGGUUCGACCAUUUCAGCCUUGGGGCCAUUGCAUUUCCCAUGUGCUGGCCCUGCAUUUCCACCCUCCGUGCUGAGUCUGGCAGAGGACACUUGUCUGUGGGAAAGUGUAUGUUCUGAUUUGGAAAAGAGCUAGUUGAACACUAAGAAAAGCAGGCUUCUUUGUUUAUUCUCAGGACCUUUUUGUAACAGGGCUACAUUCUGCAAACUGCUCACAAAGGAAGACUAUGCGUUUUAACAAAUUACUUAGCCACUGAAUCCUCCCAAUUUGGGCCUGUUUUAUUAAUGUCAGAAGAAUCCCUGAGUAGAUUUGGGGGCCCUAGAUCACUAGGGUACUAAUGCUCUGGAACCUUCUGCUCUCCACCUCCCCUGCCCUAUUCCUCCUCUGCACCAUCCCAGCAAGUAGGUGUCUUUCCGCCUUGGGCCAAGUGACCUCCGCAGGAUGAGUAACUUCAUUUGUUGAGCGUGGAGGUCACCAAGCCCUUGGGUGGGGGAUGGCUUUAUAUACCUCUUCCUCAGUAAUGCAAAUGCAAGUUUUGGUGGUGGGGUUAGGCCCAUAUCAAAGGAUCUUAUACCAUGCAGUGUACGCAAUUUAAAUUGUAUUCUACAGAUAUAAAUAUUUUCUUUUUCUAUUGCCGUGACACUAUGUGUGAUGGUAAUAUUUCUGAGAGUUUCAGAUUUUUGCACAUAUGAUUUUAUGCAUUAUCAAAAGUUACUGCUGCCUUGAAUGAAAAUGUUCUGUGAAAUUUUUUGCAAAAGCUUUACUAGGUUUUUUUAAUUGUGAAAUUUUGUAAAGGCAGGAAAUGAUUAAAAUGAGCAUGCUAAAUAUAUUUUUCAAAAAGCAAUAAUUUUACAUGUACAGAAAUUAUCCUAACCUUUAAUACUGGUGAGAGCGACAGUUUACUUAAUACAGUGAUGGAUUAGUGCAGUUUUUGUAGAAAAUGGGCUUCUGAUACAAAGACUUGUUUAAACACACACCAACACACAAACCCUGAAGUGUGGUUUUCCUGUUCUAAUGAUUUGUUGGAUUAUUAUAUUAUUAUUAUUAUUUUAUUGUUAUUGUUAGUUAAUGUUUGUUUUGAAUUCUACUUGUUACUGAGUUUAAAUUACUUGACAGUUCAGGUGACUGCGACACUUGCAAACAAUGCAAUGUAACUGGCUAGCUUAUAUAUAUAUAUAUAUAUAUAUAUAUAUUAUUUUUUUUACUUAUUUUUCCUGAUAUUCUUACACCGGAUAUGUAUGAGAAUGAGCUAUUGUGUUGGUGUGCUUGGGAAUGUCUGCACAGAUACUGUUAAGCAACUGUCAUGGAUUGUUCUGUGAGGUUAUUUGAGCAAAGUUAUAGAGACACAUUCCUCUGUCCACCUGAGAAAUCAGAACACCCUUCUGUUGAUUUAUGUUUGAUCAUUUUGAUACUUUCCCCAAAGUGAUCAUUUCUGCAUUUUCUGGCUUUUGUUUCCUUGGCUGAAAGUAAACGGUGACAUUUAGGAAUGUGAAGGGACUAGUGAUUCAGUCCUGUCUUUUUUCUCUGUGUUUUAGUUAUUAAAAGAAAUUCUGUACCCAAAGUGACACAAAGGUGUCGUCUACAUUUUUACUGUUUCAGAAGCUGCACGGAAAAGUGCAAUUGGCAUUUAGAGCUGGAAGUGUCUUUUUUCCUCAAAUUUCCUUCCCAGUUGGUCUGGUGGGGAGAGAGGCGCGUGCUGGGCUGCAGCCACAGAGUGCCGUCUGCAUCGGCUUCCAGGAGAGCAGCUGUGAGGAUGGCUGGCUUACAUGGUGAUGUGCCUGCCUCUCAGGGUGCAGAAUGAGGUUUUCAGAGGCGCACAGCCAGGAGGGGCCGGGGAUCGAGACUUCGAGCCCUGCUUCGCGCCGGACUGGAUGGGUGGCCCCCUUCUUCCACUGAGGAUCAGUAUUGUAUUGGUUUGUUAAUUUGUUUGUGUCAGUUCAACCAUAGUAUUUAAUAUGAUUUGUGUUUUCUUAUUUAUUUAGCCAAUAUGUUUUGAUUUGCUUUUUUUUUUCAAAUGAUAAUUUCUGCAUGAUACACUUCUGUAAGUCGCCUUCUGACUGUUACAGACUUUCUACUACCUCUACCAACCUGCUGUCUCCUUGUUUCCUAACAGGAUUUUUACAGUGUUGCGUCUAAUGUAAUUUAGACAAUAAAGGGUUUGGUUGUCUACACUGCAGUGCUCCUUGUGUCUCCCCUGCCCUUCACCUUGCAGUCUCGCAGCAUCCUGGCUCGGCUCGGCUCGGCUCGGCUCGGCUCGGCUCGGCUCGGCUCGGCUCGGCCGGCUCGGCUCGGCUCGGCUCGGCUCGGCUCCUGCCUGGUUUAGCUUGGCCCCUUGCCUUCUCACUGUCACCUUUCUCCCUCCCCACUCAUAUCUCUUCUCAUUUUUGAAUUUAAAUAACACACAAAUAAUGAGCUUCUUAAAAUCUUUCAGGUUAAUUACUUGUAGUCCUUAAUUCAAAGAAUGAACAUUUAAAUUCUCCAAAAAAGCAGAUGUUCAUUGUCUUCUCUGGGAAAUCACCCCCUGUACCUGUACACGUAUUUGCCUGGCUCCUAAAAGUCUCACUGCAAUCUUAGACUGAUGCGUUGCACCUGUGUUGGUACAAUGCAAAUUUCAAGCCAUGUGGAUUUUGCCUUUUUGCUUCUGAAAGUAUCAAGUGUUUUAAGAGGUUUCCCCAGUAUUUAUUUAUUUUUUAAAUCAAGAAAGACACUGGUUUUCUGAAAACAAGGAAAUCCAAUUGGGAGCUACAUGCAGUCACUCCGUAAGUUAAAGGAACAUGAUUUUGUGAUAGGCUGUCAGGAUGCAUCUUCUGACUUGGCUGCUGUGCACCGUGGCUAGGAACUGCUCCAGCAUCUCUGUAAAGCCCUAGCACACAUAGGUCUAACAGCACUACACUCCCUUAGCACACAGAGCUGGGUGCAGCAGUGGGGCAAGUUCCACCUCACUUGGUGGUGGCUCUAUUGCUUCCCGUUCUUUCAACCCAGGAGAGCAAGUACAGUUUACGGGGCAAUGGGGGUGUCUUCCAGAUCACAGAAAGUGGUCCGCAUGGAAGACCACUCAUGCUGCAUGGAAGACAGCACCUCCUGGACUCCCGUGGCCAGAGACUCUCCUUGCAUUGCUUCUUUAGAACAAGACCACCUAUCCCUGAACAAGUCACAAGGUUCAAACCCUGUUGUAGACAGAAGAAGGAUGUUCUGUGUUCAUAAGCUUGACUCUACUUUCACAAUGUCUGAAGUAACAUUUGUUGUUUUACUGCUUUUAACUUUGGUGACUUCUAAUUGCAGAACAUUUUAUUCACUAAGGAGACAACAAUAACAACAAAAAUCCCAGGUGAGGACUUCCAGCAGUGACCAGGUCUUUGUUUGCCAUGGUUCAUGCAAACGCCAGAGCCCUAGGACAUGCCUGUGUGGAGUGACCCCCUGGUCUCCCUGUAAGAGAAAUGUCCAUUCUUUAUCAACUUUGCUAAUAUAUACUUUAAGACAGUAAAAUGCAAAAGACCAUAA